rnacentral:misc_RNA from 1 species
GGGCUAUAGCACUCAGAUCAAGAUGACAUCCAAUAAAAUUAUUUAAAUGAUUUAAUUGUUUUUCCUUAGAUGCGCUAUCUGCAUAGCACGAAUGAUAAAAGUCAUAACAGAAAUUCUCACUUUCCCCAGAAAAUACAGCAAGCAACAUAUCUAGUCUUCAGGAAAAGAGUGAAGGCGAGGUGAAUGGGGAAGGGAACUAGUUAAAACCCACUCACUGCACCUGCAUCAAUGAAUAA